rnacentral:lncRNA from 1 species
UCCUGGUUCGGGGACUAUAGAGAGGAAGAAGAAGAGGAAGCCCCAAGCCCCCCAAUCUCGUGCUUUAGAAUUUUAUUAUAUAGGUCGGAUAAUCAGGUUCGAUCCGGGGUUGAAUUGUUUUAUUAUUAUAUAACAAAACAAAAUGUCUUUCAAUAGAAAGUACAGGAUUAACUCCCUAUCUUAUUUACUAAUUGUUAUUCAUUUUCAAAAUAUUUGUAUUUUUUUUCUUAAAUUUUCCACAAAAUAUUCUUUUUACAUCAUUUAAUUCUUUCAAUUGCUAUAUCAAACAUUGAGAAAAAAGGAGAAACAAAUAAAAAUGUAUUAACAUCACAUAACAUUAUAUUUUACUAACAACAAAUUGAGAUUCUUGAUGUUGGUUAUAUGUGUGCCUUCGUGAAAUGCAUGACUCACGAAGUAACGACAAAUCCCCAAGUGGAUUUCGUUGGUUCAGGCAAAGCACCUACAUCAUCCAUGCAACUAGUGUUAUCAAUUUACCUCAAACCAAACCAUUUUCCUUUAUUCUUACAAACCCAACCAUGGCAAAUAUGGUUCUUGUCGUCUACAAACCUUGAACCAUUUUCAUAAACCCAAACAUUAAACAACCGAGUGAUUGUUGUUCAUCCUAGUACUUAAACAAAACUGCCAAAAAACCCAACCCAUUUCCAUAAACUCUAAAUCAUCAAGGUGAUGAGUUGAGACACCUUACACCCGGUCUGAAACAAGACUGAAUAUAGAGUGCUGCAUCUAUUAUUGGAAUAACUCAAACGAUAAACUUACAAUCAAAACACAUAAAUUCGAGUUAAAUUUUAAUUACAAAAAAAAUACCACGUCAUGUUUUAAAAAAAUGAUUAUUUUACUUAUUUUUCAAAUAUUUUUGUUUAGAAAAUGUAUUGUAGAAAGACCUAAAGAGUAGCGUGACCAUAGUCUAAGAUUCAAUGACAUUCUAAGUUGAGUUAAAAGUGUGAGUCUCAUAAAGAAGAAGUGGUUGUUAACUGACAUUAUUUUAUAUUAUGAGAUUACCUUUAUUAAAGUGAAGAUUGCAACCUCUGCCUGCCUGCCUUCAUCAAUGCCCCAUCUUCUCUCUACCAAAUUCAACUUCAUUUUCACUUCUUCUUCUUCUUCGAGUUGUUGAAAUGGAGUCUAAUUAUUUAUUCCUGGCUUGGCAGGGGCAUCACUGAAGCCAUGGUCAGACCUUCAUUUAGUUGGCUCCCCCGUUAAAAGUACAGUAUUGUCUGUCAAACCUUAAUGUAAUAUAAAUUAAUAAGAAAGAGUUGAGCAUGCAUGCAUGUCCCAAUAGUUUUUAAUCCGUUUUGCGACAACCAUCACUCCCAUUUCAUUGUUAAUUAAGAAUCCUUCUAUUUUUAUCAGUAAUUUUGUUGAUAUUUAUCGUGG